AAAGUUUCUGGAGAUGAAGCACAAGCAACUUGUGCUCUUUCUGACUGCUGCCAGGAGGGAGAGAAGAGAUACAGACAAUGAGAAGAUUCCUUGGAACAGCAGCACUGAGAGCUGGAAGAGCAUUAUGAGCUGUCAGGGAUGGAUGGACUAGCUAAUCCCGUGGCUUCUGAAAAAGAAUUGAACUUCUAAGAACUUAAUGUACAAACUUCACUUUUACAGCCUACAAAACUGAAAUUGCUUUAUGGAACUGGAAAAGAAAGAUUUUUAUU